rnacentral:rRNA from 1 species
UACGAAGGGUGCAGGCGUUACUCGGAAUUACUGGGCGUAAAGCGUGCGUAGGUGGUUGUUUAAGUCUGUUGUGAAAGCCCUGGGCUCAACCUGGGAACUGCAGUGGAAACUGGACAACUAGAGUGUGGUAGAGGGUAGCGGAAUUCCCGGUGUAGCAGUGAAAUGCGUAGAGAUCGGGAGGAACAUCCAUGGCGAAGGCAGCUACCUGGACCAACACUGACACUGAGGCACGAAAGCGUGGGGAGCAAACAGG